AAUUCAGUGUUAAUGGAAAUUCUUCAAACUGAGUGUUAAAAAGUACUCUGAAAAGCUCCGCCUCCUUCCACUUCGUGCCAGACUGACCAGAAUUUUCUCAGCGCCAUUUUCAACUUCUCCACCUUGCUGAAAAGUGUUGCUUUCAUGAAGUUCUCCAUUCCACCUGUCGUUGAGGGCAUCACAGUGUUUGAUGACACAGGAACUGAGGUGGAUGCAGAAAUAUUUGAGGAACCAGUACUGGCAUAUUGACCAUCACAUUUGGCAAUGCUUCUAAGGAGAGAACUUUGUCCAGCUGUUCUCGGGGGUCAACAUCAACUCACCGGACUCUGGAAACAUCAUUUUCUCCCACCUCAGUGUAUCAAACUGCAACACAUUCAGCACCAGAAUUUUCACGUUGUGACUCUGAUGAAACAGUCAUCCUUGAUCUUGCAACCUUGCGGCUCUGUUAAUCCCAUUCACAAUGAGAAUGACAGUCCUCCCAGUAAACAGCAGAAAAUAAAAUGGAUGGAUACAACUUCAAAAGAGGUCUCUUUUUUUCUGCCAUGAUGAUAAAAUGAUGAAAAAUAAUAUAAUUUCGUGUCAUCCUUAAUAUGUCUGUCAAUAGUUGGUUGAAUCAGCACUGAUCAAGAAACCAGGUCAUAUGGUGCACAAGAUUCCUCUCUUUUCAUUGUUCCAUAUUGUCAUUUAAUGCAGCCUUGAUCAGUCAUUUUAGUAAUUUAGUCAUUAGAUUUAAAGAUUUUAAUUACUGUUGUCAAAAUUGAAGAUGGAGUUUUUCAAAUGUAACAUGGCAACAACCUAAGAGGCAAUAUAGGUCACAGCAAGAUAACCAAUUAAUGUACCUACUUUACAUUAAUUUUAUUUUUAAAACCUUGCGAUCUUUGAAAUUUUAUUUGGUGUUAGUCACUUUUUGUGGUUAUCUUCUCAAGAUGAUCUUGCACCUUAAUGUAUUUCACUUCUGAAAGUUAGAAUUGUAAAAUGUGUUAAUUCCAAAAGAUUGGUGGUUGCAGUUGAUUAUUGAAUGUUUGACUUCAAAGGACUAUCUGUUAUCUGAAAGAAUACAAAAAUUGCAUACUUUGUUAAAAAUGCAACUAAUGUUGUCAAGUUCUUCAAAGUAAUAAAGUUGUAUAGCUAAAAAUG